GAUGAACGCUGGCGGCGUGCUUAACACAUGCAAGUCGAGCGGAAAGGCCACAGCUUGCUGUGGUACUCGAGUGGCGAACGGGUGAGUAACACGUGGGUGAUCUGCCCUGUACUUCGGGAUAAGCUUGGGAAACUGGGUCUAAUACCGGAUAGGAAUCACAUGUGGGUGUGUGGUUGGAAAGCUUUUGCGGUAUGGGAUGAGCUCGCGGCCUAUCAGCUUGUUGGUGGGGUAAUGGCCUACCAAGGCGUCGACGGGUAGCCGGCCUGAGAGGGUGUACGGCCACAUUGGGACUGAGAUACGGCCCAGACUCCUACGGGAGGCAGCAGUGGGGAAUAUUGCACAAUGGGCGCAAGCCUGAUGCAGCGACGCCGCGUGGGGGAUGACGGCCUUCGGGUUGUAAACUCCUUUCGUCAGGGACGAAGCGAAAGUGACGGUACCUGGAUAAGAAGCACCGGCUAACUACGUG
rnacentral:rRNA from 1 species